rnacentral:rRNA from 1 species
GAUCAUGGCUCAGGAUGAACGCUGGCGGCGUGCUUAACACAUGCAAGUCGAACGGGAAACCUUUUAUUGAAGCUUCGGCAGAUUUAGCUGGUUUCUAGUGGCGGACGGGUGAGUAACGCGUGGGUAACCUGCCUUAUACAGGGGGAUAACAACCAGAAAUGGUUGCUAAUACCGCAUAAGCGCACAGGACCGCAUGGUUCGGUGUGAAAAACUCCGGUGGUAUAAGAUGGACCCGCGUUGGAUUAGCUAGUUGG